GCCGGAGUGGUGGAAUUGGUAGACACGCUAUCUUGAGGGGGUAGUGGCCAUUGGCUGUACCGGUUCAAAUCCGGUCUUCGGCACCA
rnacentral:tRNA from 1 species